UAUUAUUUGAAUUGUAAAGAGGAUGGCUUGGGUAGUAAUAGUUAAAUUCUUAAAACUCAAAGAAUUUGGCGGUACUUUAAUCUUUUCAGAGGAAUCUGUUCUAUAAUCGAUAUUACACGUUAUAAUACACUUAAUUUUGUAAUUCAAUUUGUAUACCGCCGUUAUAAGAUUAUCUUUUUAGGGAUUUAAUUUUCUUUAAAUUUAAGGAUAAGAUGUCAGGUCAAGGUGCAGUAAAUAGUUAAGGGAGAAAUGGAUUACAAUAAAAUUAUUUAUAUGGAUUUUAAAAUGAAAUUUUUGGAUGAAGGUGGAUUUGAAGGUAAUUUUAUUAAAUUAUGAUAAAGUGAAUAAAGCUCUAGAGUAUGUACACAUCGCCCGUCGCUCUCAUUAGUACAAUGAG
rnacentral:rRNA from 1 species